rnacentral:rRNA from 1 species
UGAGCCGCUGGCGGCGUGCCUAAUACAUGCAAGUCGAGCGCGGGAAGCGAGUGGAUCCCUUCGGGGUGAAGCUCGUGGAACGAGCGGCGGACGGGUGAGUAACACGUGGGCAACCUGCCUGUAAGAUCGGAAUAACCCCGGGAAACCGGGGCUAAUGCCGGGUAAUACUUUCUUUCGCAUGAAGGAAAGUUGAAAGAUGGCUUCUCGCUAUCACUUACAGAUGGGCCCGCGGCGCAUUAGCUAGUUGGUGAGGUAACGGCUCACCAAGGCGACGAUGCGUAGCCGACCUGAGAGGGUGAUCGGCCACACUGGGACUGAGACACGGCCCAGACUCCUACGGGAGGCAGCAGUAGGGAAUCUUCCGCAAUGGACGAAAGUCUGACGGAGCAACGCCGCGUGAACGAUGAAGGUCUUCGGAUCGUAAAGUUCUGUUGUUAGGGAAGAACAAGUACCGUGCGAAUAGAGCGGUACCUUGACGGUACCUAACGAGGAAGCCCCGGCUAACUACGUGCCAGCAGCCGCGGUAAUA